AAAGUAGCUGAACUUACAUUACUCAGCUUCUUUCUGUGGCCUUCUCUGUUCCUGUCCCAUCAUUUGGAAGGUGUGGGGGCGCUUGUAUUUGAAUCCAGUUUGAGAAAUUCCUGCUUUUCUCUCUAUCGUGCUUCUUUUUCACUGAGUGAUAGUAGGUAGAAGUUUCCAGAAGGAUUUCCUGUGGUGCCUUCUAUUUGUUAUGAUUCUACAGCCCGUUUCCUGAAAGGAAAAUAAUGGAGUUGGCUAUAUAGAUUUGGAUCUCUGUUUACUGCCUCAAUUGCAUUUUUAAGAACUGAGUUUUCUUUGUCUUGAAGGUUGUUCCUACAGUACCUGAGGAUGCUGGACAAAGAGAUCAUCCCCAUGGAUUUCUAUGGGGUUGCGAUAUACGUCCAGCCAUUACUUUUGUUCUCAUUUGCAUUUUUAUAUGGAGAAUUUUUCAAUUUAUUGCAAGCAGGCUUUAUGUAGUAAAAAAGAAAAAGCUUGCUGUAGAACACUCUGGACUAAUAAAAGAAAAUUGUGAUCUACUUGACAAACCUAACUUUCUAGAAAAAGAGUAUGAAAGCUUAGAGCGAUCUUUGCAAGAUGCCAGCUUUGAGGAGUCGGAAGAAGGGCAAACUUUGAAGUUAAAGAGAACAAAUGACUUCAUUUUGAAAGCUGGGGCGAGGAGUGUUGCUGACUAACAUAGACUUUAAAGAUACUAUGUUGUCAGCAAACUCCGUUUCAAAGAAAUAUGAAAAAAUAUGGUAGUUUUUAUAACUUACAAAUGGUUAAAUAUUGGAAAUAGACCGUUGGUAGUACAUGUUUUGAGUGACGCCUAUUCAGCUCGUAGGAGAGCUCUGUAGAAGCUCUUUGUUCUUCCUUCUUGGAAAAUCUGUGAAGUGACCUUUCCUUUUUUGGACUCAGUUUACUACACAGAGAGACAAAGGAUUCAUUCAAACAAAUUUAGGACUAGUUGGCAACAAUGAAUUAUCGAAAUUGUGUCAUGGUAUUGGCCUAGAUGUAAUCCUCAAGAAUAUUAGGAAUUAUUCAGAAUUGGAUCAGAAGUUACAUUAUAAAUAUUGAUGUGCUGCUAAGUGUUUCGAAACUGGCUCUCCAAAAAUCACUUGCU